rnacentral:rRNA from 1 species
GACGAACGCUGGCGGCGUGCUUAACACAUGCAAGUCGAACGGAAAGGCCCUGCUGUUGUGGGUUGCUCGAGUGGCGAACGGGUGUGUAACACGUGAGUAACCUGCCCUUGACUUUGGGAUAACUUCAGGAAACUGGGGCUAAUACCGGAUAGGAGCUCCUGCUGCAUGGUGGGGGUUGGUAAGUUUCGGCGGUUGGGGAUGGACUCGCGGCUUAUCAGCUUGUUGGUGGGGUAGUGGCUUACCAAGGCUUUGACGGGUAGCCGGCCUGAGAGGGUGACCGGCCACAUUGGGACUGGGAUACGGCCCAGACUACUACGCGAGGCAGCAGUGGGGAAUAUUGCACAAUGGGCGGAAGCCUGAUGUAGUAACGCCGCGUGCGGGAUGACGGCCUUUGGGUUGUAAACCGCUUUCGCCUGUGACGAAGCGUGAGUGACGGUAAUGGGUAAAGAAGCACCGGCUAACUACGUG